CAGGGCUGCUACUCUGAAACAAAAGAUCUUAGUUCCGUGCAAACUUCCUUUCCCCUUGCUUUGCUGGUGGGCCUGUGACUGCACCUGCUGUGGUACAGCACACUUGAAUGCUCCAGGGAAACCACAGAACCAGCAGGACUCACCUAGUAUGUUCAGUGGGAGAAGACAAUCAUGGGGUUUUUUGACUCAACAGUCUGACCAAAACUUAUAAUUGUUGAAAGGCUUCUGGAGUUUUUUGUUUAAAUUUAUCUCUAUAUAGCUGGACACAUGGAUGGUGAUAAGUUUUUGUUUUCCGUUCUAACCCACACUCAGUCACUCAUAACUUUUCUGAAGAGUGUGCUUUGGGGCUGAAGUUUUCUGUUAUUAAUUAGAGGUAGCACUACCUGUAGAUACGAUUGCCUAAUACUUCCCAUGAUCAGAGCUGCUCUCAGUCCUGUUCUUCCACAAACUGGUAUGACACAAGGUCUUUUACACAAAAAGACUGGAAUUUUCAAAAGCCAGCUGUAAGAACUCAAAAAUGAUGCCUCAUUCUCUGGCUGGAUGGUGGGAGACAACACAACACUCGUUUGGGUUGGACAUUUCAAGUCUACAUUAGCGUAUGGGUCACCCUGAGAUACAUCAGCUUCCCUAGGAAGAAGUUAUGCUGCGCAACAGAACAAGACAAAAUGACCUGUUUCAUUCAGCACAUUGGGUCUUCUACUUUCAGAAAGCAAAGGGAGAAGACUGAAGUCCUGGGCUGACUAUCUGGAAGUCCUCCUGGUGUUACCAAGUACCUAUCUUGAAUAGAUGUCUGCAGCAUGUGAAACAGAAGUCAAUCUCACCAUGCUGUUAAGCUGCAAUAAGAAGAGAAUGGAGAAAACCAGACAACGCUGAAGUCAAUUGCAACAAUUCUGUAGACUUUAAAAGGGACAGGAUCUUCAUCACAUAACCAAGUAUGUAUUACAUUAUCACAAAAAGGACACUGCGGAAAUGGAAAAGAGCAAUUAAAUGUAUUAGAAGUUUGGAGAAUGCCUCCAUCUCAAGAAAAAUGUAAAAAUAAGGCUUAGUUACACAAGUAAGGAAUAAGAAAAAAUAUUCUAGAAGUAUAGUUUGAUGUUAUAAUGCAUUUUAAAAGUAUAUUUGUUUUUGGCAGUCCAGGUGGUACAAUUCCAAAAGCAUACAUUUUAAAGGUAUGCUGGAAUUAGUAAUAAUAAGGUGCUUAUACAACUAAGAAAGAAGUUCUGUUAGUGUGAUCUGUGUCUGUUUGUUGGUCUGUCAUAAAUAAAUAUAAA